rnacentral:tRNA from 1 species
GUCCAGUGGUUAGGACUCUGCGCUCCCAAUGCAGGGGGCCCAGGUUCGAAUCCUGG